rnacentral:rRNA from 1 species
AGAGUUUGAUCCUGGCUCAGGAUGAACGCUGGCGGCGUGCCUAACACAUGCAAGUCGAGCGGGAAAUUUUAAAAUGAAGCUUCGGUAGAUUUUUAAGAUGGAGAGCGGCGGACGGGUGAGUAACGCGUAGGCAACCUGCCCUUUGCAGAGGGAUAGCCAUUGGAAACGAUGAUUAAAACCUCAUAACACUAUAUAGUCACAUGGCUGUAUGGUCAAAGAUUUAUCGGCAAAGGAUGGGCCUGCGUCUGAUUAGCUAGUUGGUGGGGUAACGGCCUACCAAGGCGACGAUCAGUAGCCGACCUGAGAGGGUGAUCGGCCACAUUGGAACUGAGACACGGUCCAAACUCCUACGGGAGGCAGCAGUGGGGAAUAUUGCACAAUGGGGGAAACCCUGAUGCAGCGACGCCGCGUGGAGGAAGAAGGUCUUCGGAUUGUAAACUCCUGUUGUUGAGGAAGAUAAUGACGGUACUCAACAAGGAAGUGACGGCUAACUACGUGCCAGCAGCCGCGGUAAAACGUAGGUCACAAGCGUUGUCCGGAAUUACUGGGUGUAAAGGGAGCGCAGGCGGGAAGACAAGUUGGAAGUGAAAUCUAUGGGCUCAACCCAUAAACUGCUUUCAAAACUGUUUUUCUUGAGUAGUGCAGAGGUAGGCGGAAUUCCCGGUGUAGCGGUGGAAUGCGUAGAUAUCGGGAGGAACACCAGUGGCGAAGGCGGCCUACUGGGCACCAACUGACGCUGAGGCUCGAAAGUGUGGGUAGCAAACAGGAUUAGAUACCCUGGUAGUCCACACCGUAAACGAUGAUUACUAGGUGUUGGAGGAUUGACCCCUUCAGUGCCGCAGUUAACACAAUAAGUAAUCCACCUGGGGAGUACGACCGCAAGGUUGAAACUCAAAGGAAUUGACGGGGGCCCGCACAAGCGGAGGAACAUGUGGUUUAAUUCGAUGAUACGCGAGGAACCUUACCCGGGCUUAAAUUGCAACUGACUGAACCGGAAACGGUUCUUUCUUCGGACAGUUGUGAAGGUGCUGCAUGGUUGUCGUCAGCUCGUGCCGUGAGGUGUCGGCUUAAGUGCCAUAACGAGCGCGACCCUUAUCGAUAGUUACCAUCAGGUCAUGCUGGGGACUCUGUCGAGACUGCCGUCGUAAGAUGCGAGGAAGGUGGGGAUGACGUCAAAUCAGCACGGCCCUUACGUCCGGGGCCACACACGUGUUACAAUGGGGGGUACAGAAGGCCGCUACACAGCGAUGUGAUGCCAAUCCCCAAAACCCCUCUCAGUUCGGAUUGGAGUCUGCAACCCGACUACACGAAGCUGGAAUCGCUAGUAAUCGCGAAUCAGAAUGUCGCGGUGAAUACGUUCCCGGGUCUUGCACUCACCGCCCGUCA